UUGGAGGGCUAUCCAGGAAACUGGACUGAGCCAACUGGCACAGAGAAGAACUCACACAGCAUCUAAGUAAAUAAUGGGUGAAUAUAAAUCACCUGGCUGAGUGGAGACCAGCAAAGCACUCCCAGCCCAAAACAGACCAUGCAAUUCUUCCUGGCCCUUGUCGCCUUGGGAGGAAUAGCCUGCAGUUUCCAUGGGGUACAUUCUUACGAGUCCCACAAUUUUGGACCAGGCCAUUUCUCCAUUUUUAAGAGCCCUGAAGAGAGAAUCGAGGGUUUACAGUUCUUCUUUGGACCAAUAGUUGGCCUUUUAAAAGGUGUAAAACUAAGAAUAAGUAAUCAAUGGACUAAAACAUAUGGACACGCAAACGGAAAGCUUGAUGAAUUCGUCCUCCGGAAAAAUGAAAACAUUAAAAAAAUAACAACCUUUAGUAAGCUGUGCAUCCGUGGUAUAGAGAUAGAAACCGAUGCUGGAAGAACUUUUAAAGCUGGGAAUCCCAAUGGGCAGAGGUCCACUAUCUUUCCCCCUGAGAAGGGGAUGGUAUUCAAUGGCAUCACUGGUUAUUUUGACCUUAUAUGUAUCAAAAGAAUGAUAUUUCACUGGACACACAUUCUUCAAACAAUCCCCACACCUGAAGUAACUACAGAAGAGAAGGGUCCUGAAAACACCUCAACUGCACGUGCUAAAACCACUCAAGCUGAACCUGCUAAAACCACUCCAGUUGCACCUGCUAACACCACCCCAGCUGCAACUGCUAAAACCACUCCAGCUGCAUCUGAUGAAAACACCCCAACUGCAACUGCUGAAAAUACCCCAGCUUCACCUACUGGAAACCUCCUAGCUGCACCUUGUAGCAAUGGGAACAAGAAUUCACCAAAGUUCUAGUGAGCCCCUAUUGAAGACACCUCAAUUUAACAACUGCACUGCUUAGCAUCUUACAACUAUUGGCCACUAUACUAAGUCAUCUAUCCCUUCUAGGAAAAGAUUUAAAGCUGUAGUUAUUCUGAGUUGCUUUUUUUAAAGACUAUAUAUACCAUAACCUGGACUAUACUUCCAGAGACCUGGAACCAAUGGCUGGCCUAAGGAUCCUGGAAUCUAGAAGGAGAGAGUAACCAUGACCCAGGUGAUGUGACUCCCCAAGAAAAUGCUGGUCUAAAAAAGUAAAGGGAAGGAAAAAAAUUAAGACUGUGAGAAAAUCCAGAGGGGAUUUAAGAGUCUAAUCAAUUAAUAAAGCUUCUGCAAAAGCUA
rnacentral:lncRNA from 1 species